rnacentral:rRNA from 1 species
UACGAAGGGGGCUAGCGUUGCUCGGAAUUACUGGGCGUAAAGGGCGCGUAGGCGGCACUGUUAGUCAGGCGUGAAAGUCCUGGGCUCAACCUGGGAACUGCGCUUGAUACGGCAGAGCUAGAGGAUGGAAGAGGCUCGCGGAAUUCCCAGUGUAGAGGUGAAAUUCGUAGAUAUUGGGAAGAACACCGGUGGCGAAGGCGGCGAGCUGGUCCAUUACUGACGCUGAUGUGCGAAAGCGUGGGGAGCAAACAGG